rnacentral:rRNA from 1 species
UGGGGAAUUUUGCACAAUGGGGGAAACCCUGAUGCAGCGACGCCGCGUGAUUUAGAAAGCCUUCGGGUUGUAAAAAUCUUUUUUAUGGGAUGAAAAUGACAGUACCAUAAGAAUAAGGUCCGGCUAAAUACGUGCCAGCAGCCGCGGUAAUACGUAUGGACCGAGCGUUGUCCGGAAUCAUUGGGCGUAAAGGGUACGUAGGCGGCCCAGUAAGUUAGAAGUGAAAUAAUAUAGCUCAACUAUAUAAAGCUUUUAAAACUGCUAGGCUUGAGAGAUGGAAGGGAAAGUGGAAUUCCUAGUGUAGCGGUGAAAUGCGCAGAUAUUAGGAAGAAUACCGGUGGCGAAGGCGACUUUCUGGUCAUCAUCUGACGCUGAGGUACGAAAGCGUGGGUAGCAAACAGG